GUACGAAAUGCGCGUGCUGGUGCCUGUGCCCUUGCGCAGGCAUAAUAGGGAACCCGGUGUGAUUCCGGGGCUGCCCAGCAGCGGUAAGUGAGAACGAAACUCGUCAACGACACUGGUUCCCUCGGGGAGCUGGGAAGGGACGAGCGGUAGGAAGCCGGCCCCGCGCCGGAAUGCUCGCGAGCCCGAAGACCUGCCAGCGCCCGUACGCGAGA
rnacentral:ncRNA from 2 species